rnacentral:rRNA from 1 species
AUUGAACGCUGGCGGCAGGCCUAACACAUGCAAGUCGAACGGUAGCACAGAGAGCUUGCUCUCGGGUGACGAGUGGCGGACGGGUGAGUAAUGUCUGGGAAACUGCCUGAUGGAGGGGGAUAACUACUGGAAACGGUAGCUAAUACCGCAUAACGUCGCAAGACCAAAGUGGGGGACCUUCGGGCCUCAUGCCAUCAGAUGUGCCCAGAUGGGAUUAGCUAGUAGGUGGGGUAACGGCUCACCUAGGCGACGAUCCCUAGCUGGUCUGAGAGGAUGACCAGCCACACUGGAACUGAGACACGGUCCAGACUCCUACGGGAGGCAGCAGUGGGGAAUAUUGCACAAUGGGCGCAAGCCUGAUGCAGCCAUGCCGCGUGUAUGAAGAAGGCCUUCGGGUUGUAAAGUACUUUCAGCGAGGAGGAAGGCGGUGAGGUUAAUAACCUCAUCGAUUGACGUUACUCGCAGAAGAAGCACCGGCUAACUCCGUGCCAGCCGCCGCGGUAACAC